rnacentral:rRNA from 1 species
AACGAACGCUGGCGGCAUGCCUAACACAUGCAAGUCGAACGAGACGUUCGGGUCUGGUGGCGACCGGGUGCGUGAACGGUGGGAAACUGCGCUUAGGAUCGGAAUAACACCCCGGGAGGGGUGCUAGUAACGGGUAAUGAUUUCGGACCAAAGAUUUAUCGGCUUUGGAUGUGCCCGCGUUGGUUUAGUUAGUUGGUAGGGUGAAAGCCUGCCAAGUCGACGAGCCAUAGCUGGUCUGUGAGGAUGAUCAGCGACACUGGGACUGAGACACGGCCCAGACUCCUGCCGGAGGCAGCAGUGGGGAAUAUAUGACCGUGGGCGAGAGGCUGAUACAGCGAGGCCGCGUGAGUGAUGAAGGCGUUAUGGUUGUAUAGCUCUAUUAACCGAGAUGUUAAUGACAGUACCGGGAGAAUAAGCUCCGGCUAACUCCGUG